GACGAACGCUGGCGGCGUGCUUAACACAUGCAAGUCGAACGGUAAGGCCCUUCGGGGUACACGAGUGGCGAACGGGUGAGUAACACGUGGGUGAUCUGCCCUGCACUUCGGGAUAAGCCUGGGAAACUGGGUCUAAUACCGGAUAGGACCCUGGGAUGCAUGUCCUGGGGUGGAAAGCUUUUGCGGUGUGGGGUGGGCCCGCGGCCUAUCAGCUUGUUGGUGGGGUGAUGGCCUACCAAGGCGACGACGGGUAGCCGGCCUGAGAGGGGGACCGGCCACACUGGGACUGAGAGACGGCCCAGACUCCUACGGGAGGCAGCAGUGGGGAAUAUUGCACAAUGGGCGCAAGCCUGAUGCAGCGACGCCGCGUGAGGGAUGACGGCCUUCGGGUUGUAAACCUCUUUCAGCACCGACGAAGCGCAAGUGACGGUAGGUGCAGAAGAAGGACCGGCCAACUACGUGCCAGCCGCCGCAGUAA
rnacentral:rRNA from 1 species